CCCGGCAAACAAGCUGUUAGUUUUAAUCUUGCGCCGACGAUCAACAAACUGAUGGCGCAUAACACCAUGACAUCGACACUUAAACAUUACACCAGUCUUUUUAAGAAAACAUUAACCAAACAAGAGACAAUGCAAAUAAGCCAUUAGUUUUGAUCUUGACGAUGAUAAGUUGGAACUUCAAUAGAAAGGAGCGACGAAUCCAUCUGCAUCAACAAUCUCCAGUCACUGUAUGAAAAAAUGGAAACAAAGCAGAUGGUAAAUAUUUCCGCAUGAAUGCAAAUGGUGAUGAGAUGAAGAUGGCAUGCUCAUGACAGUAAGAGUUGCAUUAUGAUCUACUAUUGGGUCAGCCAUAGCUAUCCAUGCUCAACUUUAAUUCUUAUCUACUUCACAAAUCUCACUUCAUGUCAUACACAGAUGGUACCUCAUAUGGUUCACUAGAAAUGGUAGCUGGAAGUAAGUUUCAGGUAUUACUUUCUUUUACUUUGAAGCCUAUUAUAGGAGCAAUUUUAAAGCAAACAACACACUCAGAUCCAACGACUACAAGGCUACAACUUCUGUAAUCCAACAACUAUACAUGUUCAGUAAAGUCAAUUACAUUGCCAAUAGGAACAGGAACAAGCUAUAAAAGACUAAACUGUAAGUAGAGAAUGCAUACCAGUAGGUUGCACAUGCAGCAGUCACCACGACACGGCAUAGUCCUGGAAUAAAAUGUAUGUAAGAUAUAAUGUUGAUCCUCCAUAAAAUGUAUGUAAGGCAUAGUCC
rnacentral:lncRNA from 1 species